GCAGCCGCGGUAAUACGUAGGUGGCAAGCGUUGUCCGGAAUUACUGGGUGUAAAGGGAGCGCAGGCGGGACUGCAAGUUGGAUGUGAAAUACCGAGGCUUAACCUCGGAGCUGCAUCCAAAACUGUAGUUCUUGAGUGGAGUAGAGGUAGGCGGAAUUCCGAGUGUAGCGGUGAAAUGCGUAGAUAUUCGGAGGAACACCAGUGGCGAAGGCGGCCUACUGGGCUCUUACUGACGCUGAGGCUCGAAAGUGUGGGGAGCAAACAGGAUUAGAUACCCC
rnacentral:rRNA from 1 species